rnacentral:misc_RNA from 1 species
GAUGAAGAACGCAUCGAAAUGCGAUAAGUAAUGUGAAUUGCAGAAUUCAGUGAAUCAUCGAAUCUUUGAACGCACAUUGCGCCCGCCAGUAUUCUGGCGGGCAUGCCUGUCUGAGCGUCAUUUCAACCCUCAUGCCCCUAGGGCGUGGUGUUGGGGAUCGGCCAAAGCCCGCGAGGGACGGCCGGCCCCUAAAUCUAGUGGCGGACCCGUCGUGGCCUCCUCUGCGAAGUAGUGAUAUUCCGCAUCGGAGAGCGACGAGCCCCUGCCGUUAAACCCCCAACUUUCCAAGGUUGACCUCAGAUCAGGUAGGAAUACCCGCUGAACUUAAGCAUAUCAAUAAGCGGAGGA